rnacentral:rRNA from 1 species
GGCUCAGGACGAACGCUGGCGGCGUGCCUAAAACAUGCAAGUCGAACGGUGGUAGCAAUACCACAGUGGCGAACGGCGGAGUAAUACGUGAACAACGUGCCCUGAAGACUGGGAUAGUCGCGGGAAACUGCGGGUAAUACCAGAUGUGGCUCUGACCCGGCAUCGGGAUGGAACUAAAUGGUUUUUCGCUUCAGGAGCGGUUCACGGCCUAUCAGGUAGUUGGUGGGGUAAUGGCCUACCAAGCCGACGACGGGUAGCGGGUCUGAGAGGAUGGUCCGCUCGAGUGGGACUGAGACACGGCCCACACACCUACGGGUGGCAGCAGUUGGGAAUCUUGCACAAUGGGGGAAACCCUGAUGCAGCGACGCCGCGUGGAGGAUGAAGGCCCUAGGGUCGUAAACUCCUUUUUUUCGGGAAAGACUUAGGACGGUACCCGAAGAAUAAGCACCGGCUAACUACGUGCCAGCAGCCGCGGUAAGACGUAGGGUGCAAGCGUUGUCCGGAUUUACUGGGCGUAAAGCGCGCGUAGGCGGCUUGUUAAGUGUGAAGUGAAAGCUCCGGGCUCAACUCGGAAAUUGCUUCGCAUACUGGCUAGCUUGAGGGAUGCAGAGGUUUGUGGAAUUCCUGGUGUAGCGGUGAAAUGCGUUGAUAUCAGGAGGAACACCCAUGGCGAAGGCAGCAAACUGGGCAUUACCUGACGCUGAGGCGCGAAAGCGUGGGGAGCAAACAGGAUUAGAUACCCUGGUAGUCCACGCCCUAAACGAUGGAUACUAGGCGUAGGAGGUAUCGACCCCUCCUGUGCCGCAGCUAACGCACUAAGUAUCCCGCCUGGGGAGUACGGCCCGCAGGUUGAAACUUAAAU